CCAUCCUGAGUGGUGCUGUAUCCACCAAAGCCCAGAAGAGGGCAAACAAGAGCUGCUCCAGUGGACACUUUCAGACCCGGGCCCAGCAGGCACCACCAGGGUCAAUCCCCCUCACCCACUGCACUGAGGAAGCCCAGAACCGGCUCGUGGAGAUCUAAAAGCUGGUGAAAGAUGCAGGGCAAUAAGAAGCGACUCCAUGCCCAUGACUGGAUGGAAGGAAACAGUGAAGCUGCCAGGAGGACACGGAAGGUAAUCCCCACGCGAUGGGCUACAGGGAAGAUAAGCAAGGGAUUUAGAAGUCAAGUCAGGAUGCCCAAAAAGGCUUCUUGGAGGAGGUGGCAAUCCCCUUGUAGUCCCUGGCCUCUACUCUCCACAGAUCUGACCCUACAAUGUGGGGCUUGAUGGGCACACUGCCCUAGCCAAUCAGAUUGCCCAUUCUUUUGUCUACAAUGGGAGAAAAGGCUGCUCUUUCUAGACAAAGGACGUAUCUUUCUAGACAAGUCCAUCAGAUUUCAUCCCCGGACCCCACACCCUCCAUUAGGAAAGAAGAUGGCUGUCUCCUUCUCCAGACCGGAUGAGUCAGGAUGAGCACCCAAGCUUGUUUCAGACAGACACAGAACAGAACGAUGCCUUUUGACUCCUGGAGAAUUCUGAUGUUGUAAGGAGCCUGUAACCUGGCAGGCAAAAGGCCUGGCUGAAGAGAGAUUAAAAGAAAGGGAGCAUAGACCCACACUACACGGCCAUUGUAGAUAAGAGUGAGAAUGUGUGGAGUGUAGCAAAGUGUGAUUAGCAAGAUUUAGCAAACUAUUUAAGGGACCAGCAGAACUGGGAACUUUAAAGUGUACCACGACUCUAUGUCCUGGAGCUCUCUUCCUCUAACCUGAAACAACCAGUCCAUCAAGCUGAGACCCAUACAGCAAUACCGGGUCCUCAAGAAACUCAAACAGCCUGAAUUCAGAGGAACAGAAGUAGAGAGCCCAAACCUGCGGGCGGCUGCAGGAGAGGUGCCCCCUGCUGUGAGCCUAUUGUCUGUGGUUCUUAGGAUUGUUUGCUUAUGCUUGUGUGUGUUACUUUGACAUAAGUGUGAAGUAAAACUUAUAUACUCAAACCAACUCGCUGAGUCUGUCAUUCCUCCCAGGUCAAAACCUGGUAAGGGCUCCAGACAGUUGUAAUAAACUGGAAAGAAAGAGACAGAGAGGAUGGAAAAACAAAGAACCAGACUUGUCCCUCUCAAAUCCAAGAAUUCGGUUGUCCUGAAUUAGAGCUAAGUCCAUGCUGGACUGCUCGGCAGGAACACAGCUCCAGGCCUUAUCCAAAGGGAUGCUUGCUUUUCUUGGGUGCACUCAAAAGGCCAGGAGGCAAGAGCUGCUCCAUUGGCUCCCAAAGACAUCAAAGCCAGUGUAUCCACUGACUUUAUUAGUUAGAGCUCAUCAUAGGCUCAGGAGGAGACUGCAUC
rnacentral:lncRNA from 1 species